AGCGAACGUUAGCGGCGCGCCUAACACAUGCAAGUCGUACGAGAAAGGGCUUCGGCCCCGGUAAAGUGGCGAACGGGUGCGUAACACGUAGGUAACCUUCCCCGGAGCGGGGGAUAACAGACCGAAAGGUUUGCUAACACCGCAUAAGACUACGACCUGAAACGGUUGGAGUUAAAGCUGGCCUCUUCUUGAAAGCUAGCACUUCGGAAUGAGCCUGCGGCCCAUCAGCUUGUUGGUAAGGUAAUGGCUUACCAAGGCAAAGACGGGUAGCUGGUCUGAGAGGAUGAUCAGCCACACUGGCACUGAAACACGGGCCAGACUCCUACGGGAGGCAGCAGUGGGGAAUCUUGGUCAAUGGGCGCAAGCCUGAACCAGCGACGCCGCGUGAGUGAUGAAGGCCUGG
rnacentral:rRNA from 1 species